CUAUACUACGCUGAAAGACCACUUCCCGUACGAUUAUCAAAGUUAAGCAACAUCGAGCCUGGUCAGUACUUAGAUGGGUGACCGCUUGGGAACGCCAGGUAC